rnacentral:snRNA from 1 species
AUACUUACAUGGCAGGAGAGAUACCAUGAUAACAAAGGUGGAUUUCCCAGGGCAAAGCUCAUCCAUUGCACUCCGGAUGUGCUGACCCCUGCGAUCUCCCCAAAUGCAUAAUUUGUGGUAGUGGGGGACUACAUCCAUGUUCUCCCCUA